UACAGAGGGUGCGAGCGUUGUCCGGAAUCACUGGGCGUAAAGGGCGCGUAGGUGGCGCCCCAAGUCCGUGGUGAAAGCUCGAUGCUCAACAUCGAGUCGGCCACGGAAACUGGGGGGCUCGAGCACUGUAGAGGCAGAUGGAAUUCCGGGUGUAGCGGUGGAAUGCGUAGAGAUCCGGAAGAACACCGGUGGCGAAGGCGGUCUGCUGGGCAGUGGCUGACGCUGAGGCGCGACAGCGUGGGGAGCAAACAGG
rnacentral:rRNA from 1 species